rnacentral:rRNA from 1 species
UACAGAGGUCUCGAGCGUUAGGCGGAAUCACUGGGCUUAAAGCGCGUGUAGGCGGUUCGGUAAGUCCGCUGUGAAAGUCGGGGGCUCAACCCUCGGAAGCCGGUGGAUACUGUCGAGCUAGAGUACGGAAGAGGCGAGUGGAAUUCCUGGUGUAGCGGUGAAAUGCGCAGAUAUCAGGAGGAACACCAAUUGCGAAGGCAGCUCGCUGGGACGUUACUGACGCUGAGACGCGAAAGCGUGGGGAGCAAACAGG